AACUUUGUGCAGUGGCAGUAUUGUAGCCAAUGAGGUUUAUCCAAGGCGCGAUUAUUGCUAAUUGAAAACUUUUCCCAGUACCCCGCCAUGACGACUUGAAAUAUAGUCAGCAUUGGCAAUUUUUGGCAGUCUCUACGGAGA
rnacentral:snRNA from 1 species